CCCAAAGUGGCUAUUAAGGCCAGGAGACUUUGAUGGCCACUCCAGAACCUUCACCUUUUUUUGCUGUUACCACUGGAGGGUCAACUUGUGCUUAGGGUCCAAGAGCAUCCCAUGCGCAGCCUUCGUGCAGAAGAAUACAAAUUGUCUGCCAGUAUUUUUUGAUAACAUGUUGCAUUCAUCUUGCCAUCAAUUUUCACAAGAUUCCCAUUGCCGUUAGAGCUCUCACACCAGUGAGCUACCACCUUGCUUCACAGUGGGGAUGGUAUUCUUUUCACUAUAGGCUUUGUUGAC